rnacentral:tRNA from 12 species
AGGCGCGUAGCUCAGGGGUAGAGCGCUACCUUGACACGGUAGAGGUCGGCGGUUCGAAACCGCCCGUGCCUACCA